rnacentral:rRNA from 1 species
GACGAACGCUGGCGGCAUGCCUAAUACAUGCAAGUAGAACGCUAAAGGAGGAGCUUGCUUCUCUGGAUGAGUUGCGAACGGGUGAGUAACGCGUAGGUAACCUGCCUGGUAGCGGGGGAUAACUAUUGGAAACGAUAGCUAAUACCGCAUAAUAGUAGUUGUUGCAUGACAACUGUUUGAAAGGUGCAAUUGCAUCACUACCAGAUGGACCUGCGUUGUAUUAGCUAGUUGGUGGGGUAACGGCUCACCAAGGCGACGAUACAUAGCCGACCUGAGAGGGUGAUCGGCCACACUGGGACUGAGACACGGCCCAGACUCCUACGGGAGGCAGCAGUAGGGAAUCUUCGGCAAUGGACGGAAGUCUGACCGAGCAACGCCGCGUGAGUGAAGAAGGUUUUCGGAUCGUAAAGCUCUGUUGUAAGAGAAGAACGAGUGUGAGAGUGGAAAGUUCACAC